rnacentral:rRNA from 1 species
ACAUGCAAGUCGAGGGCGAGCAUGAUCGAAGCUUGCUUUGAUUGAUGGCGACCGGCGCACGGGUGAGUAACGCGUAUCCAACCUUCCCUACUAGUAGAGAAUAGCCCGGCGAAAGUCGGAUUAAUGCUCUAUGUUGUAUUUAGAGGACAUCUGAAGAAUACCAAAGGUUUACCGCUAUAGGAUGGGGGAUGCGUCUGAUUAGGUUGUUGGCGGGGUAACGGCCCACCAAGCCCACGAUCAGUAGGGUUCUGAGAGGAAGGUCCCCCACAUUGGAACUGAGACACGGUCCAAACUCCUACGGGAGGCAGCAGUGAGGAAUAUUGGUCAAUGGACGCAAGUCUGAACCAGCCAAGUAGCGUUGCAGGAUGACGGCCCUAUGGGUUGUAAACUGCUUUUAUACAGGGAUAAAGUGAGGGACGUGUCCCUUUUUGUAGGUACUGUAUGAAUAAGGACCGGCUAAUUCCGUGCCAGCCGCAGC